rnacentral:rRNA from 1 species
UUCCGUAGGGGGACCUGCGGAGGGAUCAUUACAGAGUUAUCCAACUCCCAAACCCAUGUGAACUUAUCUCUUUGUUGCCUCGGCGCAAGCUACCCGGGACCUCGCGCCCCGGGCGGCCCGCCGGCGGACAAACCAAAACUCUUGUUAUCUUAGUUGAUUAUCUGAGUGUCUUAUUUAAUAAGUCAAAACUUUCAACAACGGAUCUCUUGGUUCUGGCAUCGAUGAAGAACGCAGCGAAAUGCGAUAAGUAAUGUGAAUUGCAGAAUUCAGUGAAUCAUCGAAUCUUUGAACGCACAUUGCGCCCAUUAGUAUUCUAGUGGGCAUGCCUGUUCGAGCGUCAUUUCAACCCCUAAGCACAGCUUAUUGUUGGGAACCUACGGCUUCGUAGUUCCUCAAAGACAUUGGCGGAGUGGCAGUGGUCCUCUGAGCGUAGUAAUCUUUUAUCUCGCUUCUGUUAGGUGCUGCCCCCCCGGCCGUAAAACCCCCAAUUUUUUCUGGUUGACCUCGGAUCAGGUAGGAAUACCCGCUGAACUUAAGCAUAUCAAAAGGCGGGAGGAA